rnacentral:sRNA from 1 species
UGGUGGCACAGUCGGAAGAGGAGGUGGUCCUACUCA